rnacentral:rRNA from 7 species
GGGUUGUGAGGUUAAGCGACUAAGCGUACACGGUGGAUGCCCUGGCAGUCAGAGGCGAUGAAGGGCGUGCUAAUCUGCGAUAAGCGCCGGUAAGGUGAUAUGAACCGUUAUAACCGGCGAUACCCGAAUGGGGAAACCCAGUGUGAUUCGUCACACUAUCAUUAACUGAAUCCAUAGGUUAAUGAGGCGAACCGGGGGAACUGAAACAUCUAAGUACCCCGAGGAAAAGAAAUCAACCGAGAUUCCCCCAGUAGCGGCGAGCGAACGGGGAGGAGCCCAGAGCCUGAAUCAGCAUGUGUGUUAGUGGAAGCGUCUGGAAAGGCGCGCGAUACAGGGUGACAGCCCCGUACACAAAAGCGCAUGUGCUGUGAGCUCGAUGAGUAGGGCGGGACACGUGGUAUCCUGUCUGAAUAUGGGGGGACCAUCCUCCAAGGCUAAAUACUCCUGACUGACCGAUAGUGAACCAGUACCGUGAGGGAAAGGCGAAAAGAACCCCGGCGAGGGGAGUGAAAAAGAACCUGAAACCGUGUACGUACAAGCAGUGGGAGCACCCUUUGGGUGUGACUGCGUACCUUUUGUAUAAUGGGUCAGCGACUUAUAUUCUGUAGCAAGGUUAACCGAAUAGGGGAGCCGGAGGGAAACCGAGUCUUAAUUGGGCGUUAAGUUGCAGGGUAUAGACCCGAAACCCGGUGAUCUAGCCAUGGGCAGGUUGAAGGUUGGGUAACACUAACUGGAGGACCGAACCGACUAAUGUUGAAAAAUUAGCGGAUGACCUGUGGCUGGGGGUGAAAGGCCAAUCAAACCGGGAGAUAGCUGGUUCUCCCCGAAAGCUAUUUAGGUAGCGCCUCGUGAAUUCAUCUCCGGGGGUAGAGCACUGUUUCGGCUAGGGGGCCAUCCCGGCUUACCAACCCGAUGCAAACUGCGAAUACCGGAGAAUGUUAUCACGGGAGACACACGGCGGGUGCUAACGUCCGUCGUGAAGAGGGAAACAACCCAGACCGCCAGCUAAGGUCCCAAAGUCAUGGUUAAGUGGGAAACGAUGUGGGAAGGCCCAGACAGCCAGGAUGUUGGCUUAGAAGCAGCCAUCAUUUAAAGAAAGCGUAAUAGCUCACUGGUCGAGUCGGCCUGCGCGGAAGAUGUAACGGGGCUAAACCAUGCACCGAAGCUGCGGCAGCGACACUGUGUGUUGUUGGGUAGGGGAGCGUUCUGUAAGCCUGCGAAGGUGGCCUGUGAGGGUUGCUGGAGGUAUCAGAAGUGCGAAUGCUGACAUAAGUAACGAUAAAGCGGGUGAAAAGCCCGCUCGCCGGAAGACCAAGGGUUCCUGUCCAACGUUAAUCGGGGCAGGGUGAGUCGACCCCUAAGGCGAGGCCGAAAGGCGUAGUCGAUGGGAAACGGGUUAAUAUUCCCGUACUUGGUGUUACUGCGAAGGGGGGACGGAGAAGGCUAUGUUGGCCGGGCGACGGUUGUCCCGGUUUAAGCGUGUAGGUGUGUGUUCCAGGUAAAUCCGGUUCACUUUAACACUGAGGCGUGACGACGAGGCACUACGGUGCUGAAGCAACAAAUGCCCUGCUUCCAGGAAAAGCCUCUAAGCAUCAGGUAACAUCAAAUCGUACCCCAAACCGACACAGGUGGUCAGGUAGAGAAUACCAAGGCGCUUGAGAGAACUCGGGUGAAGGAACUAGGCAAAAUGGUGCCGUAACUUCGGGAGAAGGCACGCUGACACGUAGGUGAAGUGAUUUACUCAUGGAGCUGAAGUCAGUCGAAGAUACCAGCUGGCUGCAACUGUUUAUUAAAAACACAGCACUGUGCAAACACGAAAGUGGACGUAUACGGUGUGACGCCUGCCCGGUGCCGGAAGGUUAAUUGAUGGGGUCAGCGCAAGCGAAGCUCCUGAUCGAAGCCCCGGUAAACGGCGGCCGUAACUAUAACGGUCCUAAGGUAGCGAAAUUCCUUGUCGGGUAAGUUCCGACCUGCACGAAUGGCGUAAUGAUGGCCAGGCUGUCUCCACCCGAGACUCAGUGAAAUUGAACUCGCUGUGAAGAUGCAGUGUACCCGCGGCAAGACGGAAAGACCCCGUGAACCUUUACUAUAGCUUGACACUGAACAUUGAGCCUUGAUGUGUAGGAUAGGUGGGAGGCUUUGAAGUGUGGACGCCAGUCUGCAUGGAGCCGACCUUGAAAUACCACCCUUUAAUGUUUGAUGUUCUAACGUGGACCCGUUACCCGGGUUGCGGACAGUGUCUGGUGGGUAGUUUGACUGGGGCGGUCUCCUCCUAAAGAGUAACGGAGGAGCACGAAGGUUGGCUAAUCCUGGUCGGACAUCAGGAGGUUAGUGCAAUGGCAUAAGCCAGCUUGACUGCGAGCGUGACGGCGCGAGCAGGUGCGAAAGCAGGUCAUAGUGAUCCGGUGGUUCUGAAUGGAAGGGCCAUCGCUCAACGGAUAAAAGGUACUCCGGGGAUAACAGGCUGAUACCGCCCAAGAGUUCAUAUCGACGGCGGUGUUUGGCACCUCGAUGUCGGCUCAUCACAUCCUGGGGCUGAAGUAGGUCCCAAGGGUAUGGCUGUUCGCCAUUUAAAGUGGUACGCGAGCUGGGUUUAGAACGUCGUGAGACAGUUCGGUCCCUAUCUGCCGUGGGCGCUGGAGAACUGAGGGGGGCUGCUCCUAGUACGAGAGGACCGGAGUGGACGCAUCACUGGUGUUCGGGUUGUCAUGCCAAUGGCACUGCCCGGUAGCUAAAUGCGGAAGAGAUAAGUGCUGAAAGCAUCUAAGCACGAAACUUGCCCCGAGAUGAGUUCUCCCUGAGACUUAAAGUCUCCUGAAGGAACGUUGAAGACGACGACGUUGAUAGGCCGGGUGUGUAAGCGCAGCGAUGCGUUGAGCUAACCGGUACUAAUGAACCGUGAGGCUUAACCUUACAACGCCGAAG